GCAGGUUCGGGUCUCACGUAGUGAGACAACGGAGCCGCUUGCGGCGACGGCCCGAAGGGCGAGCAAAGCGAGUCAUCCUGCACGACCCACCA
rnacentral:sRNA from 17 species